AGAGUUUGAUCCCCGCUCAGAUUGAACGCUGGCGGCAGGCCUAACACAUGCAAGUCGAGCGGAUGACGGGAGCUUGCUCCUUGAUUCAGCGGCGGACGGGUGAGUAAUGCCUAGGAAUCUGCCUGGUAGUGGGGGACAACGUUUCGAAAGGAACGCUAAUACCGCAUACGUCCUACGGGAGAAAGCAGGGGACCUUCGGGCCUUGCGCUAUCAGAUGAGCCUAGGUCGGAUUAGCUUGUUGGUGAGGUAAUGGCUCACCAAGGCGACGAUCCGUAACUGGUCUGAGAGGAUGAUCAGUCACACUGGAACUGAGACACGGUCCAGACUCCUACGGGAGGCAGCAGUGGGGAAUAUUGGACAAUGGGCGAAAGCCUGAUCCAGCCAUGCCGCGUGUGUGAAGAAGGUCUUCGGAUUGUAAAGCACUUUAAGUUGGGAGGAAGGGCAGUAAGUUAAUACCUUGCUGUUUGACGUUACCGACAGAAUAAGCACCGGCUAACUCUGUGCCAGCAGCCGCGGU
rnacentral:rRNA from 1 species